rnacentral:rRNA from 1 species
AGCUCCAAUAGCGUAUAUUUUAGUUGUUGCAGUUAAAAAGCUCGUAGUUGAAUUUCUGGUGGGAGAGGGCAGUCCGACCUUUUUGGUGGGUACUCGUCCUUUCCGGCCAUCCUUGGGUGGAAUCUAUCUGGCAUUAAGUUGUCGGGCAGGGGAUGCCCAUCGUUUACUGUGAAAAAAUUAGAGUGUUCAAAGCAGACUUAUGUCGUUGAAUAUAUUAGCAUGGAAUAAUAAAAUAGGACCGCAGUGCUAUUUUGUUGGUUUGCGCACCGUGGAAAUGAUGAAUAGGGACAGUUGUGGGUAUUCGUAUUCAGUUGUAAGAGGUGAAAUUCUUAGAUUAACGGAAGACGAACUACUGCGAAAGCAUUUACCAAGGAUGUUUUCA